UACGUAGGGACCAAGCGUUGUUCGGAUUUACUGGGCGUAAAGGGCGCGUAGGCGGCAAUUCAAGUCAGCUGUGAAAUCUCCGGGCUUAACUCGGAACGGUCAGCUGAUACUGUUUUGCUAGAGUGCAGAAGGGGCAAUCGGAAUUCUCGGUGUAGCGGUGAAAUGCGUAGAUAUCGAGAGGAACACCUGAGGUGAAGACGGGUUGCUGGGCUGACACUGACGCUGAUGCGCGAAAGCCAGGGUAGCAAACGGGG
rnacentral:rRNA from 1 species